AACGCACCUUGCGCUCCUUGGUAUUCCGAGGAGUAUGCCUGUUUGAGUGUCAUUUAAAUCAUCAAACCUUUCAUUAUCUGGAAGGUUUGGAUAUGGGAGUGUUGUUGGUCUUUUGUGGUCAGCUCUCCUCAAACGUAUUAGCGGGAAGCUUUUGUAACCGUUUAUUGGUGUGAUAAUUAUCUAUACCAUUGACAGUUACACUUAGUAUAAGCAUUUUGCUUCUAACUGUCGACUUAUGUGGACAACAUUUGACAAUUUGACCUCAAAUCAGGUAGGACUACCCGCUGAACUUAA
rnacentral:misc_RNA from 1 species